UCAAAGGUUAGGGGGUUAGGAUGACCUGAAAUAUUCUGCUUUUACAAAAUGUGAUGCUGUUUUCAAAUGAAACACAAUACCUUGCUCUUGUUAAAGCUUUUAG